rnacentral:rRNA from 1 species
GACAGAGGUGCCGAGCGUUAGGCGGAAUCACUGGGCUUAAAGCGUGUGUAGGCGGACCGUUAAGUACCUUGUGAAAUCCCCCGGCUCAACCGGGGAACGGACCUGGGUAUACUGGCGGUCUUGAGCCAUCCAGGGGCAGUCGGAACAGACGGUGGAGCGGUGAAAUGCGUAGAUAUCGUCUGGAACGCCGAAGGUGAAAACAGAACUGCUGGGGAUGGAGCUGACGCUGAGACACGAAAGCCAGGGGAGCGGAACGGG